AGAUUAGUUUUACAGAAAAAUACAUACGAAAGCUGGGGAUCUGGAAUGUACAGUAAUUCUCUGCAAAUGCCUUUGUAUGCCUUGAAAACUCUGUGUACUGCCAGGGUCUGAAUAUUUUAGUUUGAAGAUCCUGUCUGCAUAUGUUGGCUAUGUGUGUGGUAAGGGAGGGUGUGCACUUCAUGAAAUCAAACAGACUUCCCACAUAUGCUCCCUGAAAAUCAAGCAUUUGUCUCUUCCUUAGAUUAAUUUCUGCUGAGUCUCCUAUCAAUUCCCACCAGACCAAGAAACCUGAAGAAAAGGUGCCUCUGGCACCCAAUCCCUCACCCUGCAGCCUUGGACUCAACUUUCAGAAACUGGAUUGUGAGGCAUCUGUUGCUUCUGGCUCAGCUGACAUAAAUCCCACUUUUUCCAGUACAGUUUGAGGCCAUUCUUUCUUUAUGAUUUAUGUCUAUUCACAUUGUUCCAAAGGAUGCUGUUCUAAUUGUAUUAUGUUCUACUCUACAACUGGUAUGUAUUAAAUAAAAAAUAACUUUGUUAAAGGUGGAUAAAAAUUGGGAAACAUGAAGCCAACACAUAACAGAUUUUUCCUGAAAUGUCUCUUAAUCCCAUGGCUCCAAAAUAGGGUUUUCAUUGUAUGGCUCAACUGUUGAGAUAAGAGGAAGAAGUAAGGGACACUCAGUAUUGUUUACACUAGCCUGGGAGUGGGAGUAGGAGCUGACUUUUCCGAAUGGAAUAUUUAAAGAAAUGCAAAAUCUUUGUAAAUAGGAAUGGAGGGGUUGAAGAGAGGGCUGGGCAAGGGUGAAAAAUAAGAACCAAGAGAGAUUAUGUAAAGGUGCAAAUUUCCAAUGACGAAUGUCAUUAUAUUGUAUACCUAAAAUGUACCAAUGAUUAGAAUGAAUAAUCGAUAAUGUAAAAUAGGAAGAAAAGGUCCAAAGGGGUAGGGGUAGU
rnacentral:lncRNA from 1 species